CUCUUGUAAUAGUCAUUAUCCAGAUAGCCAAGUGUGGCACACACUCGCAUCGCAUCACCUCUAUACUUUCCCUUCCUUUCCAGCUGUGCUUUAAAUCAGCAUACCUCUCCUCACCCUGAUCAUUGCUUGGAUGGAAGAAAGUUUGAAAAUAUCCUCAGGUGAUCACAUUCAUUGUCAGGCAUGCUCAGGUCAGUGAGGAGGCUAUUUAAGAGCCCAGGUAAGGGGAAAGCUUAGCUUUCCACAUGAGUUGUUGGUAGUUGAAGAGCAGCCAGGAUAUUCUGCAAGUGUUCUACAUUCAUAAUGGAGGCAGUGUUUGAAAGACUUUUUUUUUUUUUUCCCUAGAAACAAUUAACAUUUAAAAGGAAUCUCCUCAUGGAUGAAGGGGAAAGGCUGAUCCUUCUCCAGUGGUUCCCAUAUAGGCACACCACAAGCUCACAGCUGGCAGCCAUUCUACCAUCAGUGUUGAUACUUCAGCAGCAAGAUCCGAGUAGACACACUCUUUGGAAUGAUCUCCAGUCCAAUGUAAAUCCUGAAGCAAGCAGGCACAAGGGUCUGCCUUGGUGUGGGAUGACAAGGAGAAGCACAUUUUCUGCAGAUGGAACAGCAGUCCAUCGUGUAUGGAAGAGGUGUCUUCAUCCAUCCACAGUCACCCUACAAAUUUUAAUAGGGGGAUAAAUUUACUGUAGGAAUAAUCUGACCCAGCAACAAUGAACUGCAAAACUCUUACUCCUGUGGAGUGUAGCAGCACGGAUAUAGUUCUUUGGAGGCAAAGAGGGCUGUUGCGGCAACUUUUAUGUGCCAUGCUGGUCUGGGUGGACUAGCAUCCUGUUCUCUCAUUGCUGUGGAUGUGUUCAAUUGUAUUUCACUGAGUUAUGAGAGAUUUCCCUGGUUCCUGCAUAGCACUAUGCAAACAAGGGGAGGCUAUGAGUUUCGGAUGAUGGAGGACAGAAUGCUUUGUUAGGGACCUAAAAGCCAGCCCUACCUUCUUCAAAUUAAAAGUCAUUUUACUCUCACUCUUGUUCUUCCUGCCAAAGCCUCUACAUUAACAUUUCUGUGCAUAUCCUUUGGUAAACACAAGCAAUAAUAGUGUACCUGUGCUCUGUUGGUGAGCACUUGGUCUUUAAAAAGCCUGUCAGUGGGAGAGUUUGCUAUGUUAGGGUCUGUGUGUCAGAUAGCUUACAGAAUUGGUCUACUGUGAAAAUUUUGAGGAUUCUUAAAAAAAAUGCUGGGGAAGAAAUUAAACUAUCAGUCUGUCUCAAUGGGUAAAAAAAAGAGUACGUGUAUGUAAAUAUACUAUGCUACCUAUUUGACAACAUCAGAUUAAUUCAGAUAAAAAUGAAGCUUAUUCCUUGACACAGUUCUAUUUCUGUUUUUUUUUCACAAUGUGGCAUACAGAUGCCUGCCCACAAAUGUGUUUUCAUCAGAUCAGGAGGACAUUCUGAAGCAUAUCUACUUGACUUGAGUGAUAUGAAUGUCAUUAACCACUUGCUAGCACUACAAAUCCAUAGAGAGGGAGAGGAGAAGGGGAGUCUAUUAAAUCUCCUAAUCUUUUGUUUUAAAAUUUCUAGUCUACUAAUGGGGGGAAGGGAAGGGAAAAAGCAAGGUAAGGGGGAAGGCAGAUUUGGAUACUUCUUGGUGUACUUUCUGCUUUCUCUUUGGCAAGACCUUCAUCUGAUGUGAGUAAACAUCAUUUCAUUGAUUUUACUGACUUAUAAUGAGAUAAGGAUAGAGCGCUGUAAUCGAUUAAUGCCCUGUGAAGCACAGUUUACAUCCUCUUUUCUGUUCUGUAUGCUUACAGAAUGUGUGUUUGAUUCCUAAACACCACUAAAUGUAACAAUACUUCUCUCUCUUGCCCUGCUUCUGGGUCAGGUUCUGAUCUCACUCUGAUAUAAAGUUAAGGAGUUUAUUAACUUCCAUGGAAUGAAG
ensembl:lncRNA